rnacentral:tRNA from 1 species
CGGGUGUAGCUCAGCUGGUUAGAGCACUAGAUUGUGGAUCUAGGGGUCGUGGGUUCAAAUCCCAUCACU